AUACGGAGGGGGCAAGCGUUGUUCGGAAUUACUGGGCGUAAAGGGCGCGUAGGCGGGACGUCAUGUCAGGGGUGAAAGGCCUGGGCUCAACCUGGGAAUUGCCUUUGAAACUGACGUUCUUGAGUCCGGGAGAGGAUGGCGGAAUUCCCAGUGUAGAGGUGAAAUUCGUAGAUAUUGGGAAGAACACCGGUGGCGAAGGCGGCCAUCUGGACCGGCACUGACGCUGAGGCGCGAAAGCGUGGGGAGCAAACAGGAUUAGAAACCCCGGUAGUCC
rnacentral:rRNA from 1 species